rnacentral:rRNA from 1 species
GAGCUCAAAGUUGGAACCUGUUUGGCUUAGCUAAACCGGAUUGUAAACUGUAGAAGUGUUUUCCAGACACGCCUGGUAAAAAAGUCCUUUGGAACAGGGCAUCAUAGAGGGUGAGAAUCCCGUCUUUGGCCAGAGCUGUUGUCUUUUGUGAUACAUUUUCAAAGAGUCAGGUUGUUUGGGAAUGCAGCCUAAAUUGGGUGGUAAAUCUCACCUAAAGCUAAAUAUUUGCGAGAGACCGAUAGCGAACAAGUACCGUGAGGGAAAGAUGAAAAGAACUUUGAAAAGAGAGUUAAACAGUAUGUGAAAUUGUUAAAAGGGAACCGUUUGGAGCCAGACUGGCUUGACUGUAAUCAAUCUAGGCUUCGGCCUGGAUGCACUUGCGGUUUAUGCCUGCCAACGACAAUUUUUUUUGAGGGAAAAAACUAUUUGGAAUGUGGCCCCCCUCGGGGGGUGUUAUAGCCUUUUAGAAAAUACCUUGAAUUGGAUUGAGGAACGCAGUGAAUGCCUUUAGGCAAGAUUGCUGGGCGCUUUCGCUAAUAAAUGCUAGAAUUUCUGCUUCGGGUGGUGCUAGUGUUUAAAGGAGAAACUCGUCUGGUAUAUUUUUUAUUCGCUU